rnacentral:rRNA from 1 species
GUCAAUAGCCUAACGGCUGAACCAGCAACUUGGAGGAAUGUAUAGCGAAAGCUAAUUGUAUAUUUAGUAUGUAUAAUAUUGACUAUGUCAACUAAAGUUCAAGGUAAAAAAAUGAUGAUGACAUUUUUAUCUGUGUGUCUUGACUAAAUCACGUGCCAGCAGUCGCGGUAAUACGUGGAAGACUAGUGUUAUUCAUCUUUAAUAGGUUUAAAGGGUACCUAGACGGUAUAUCUAGCCCCAAAAGGGAACUGGUAAACUAGAGUUUUAUGUGAGAGGGGGAGUACCUUUGUAGAAGAGAUGAAAUUCUGUCAUAACGGAGGAAGACUGGUAAAGGCGAAAGCAACCUUUUAUGCAAAAACUGACGUA